rnacentral:rRNA from 1 species
UAGCGAAGGGGGCUAGCGUUGCUCGGAAUCACUGGGCGUAAAGCGCACGUAGGCGGAUUGUUGAAGUCAGGGUGAAAUCCUGGAGCUCAACUCCAGAACUGCCUUUGAUACUGGCGAUCUCGAGUCCGGGAGAGGUGAGUGGAACUGCGAGUGUAGAGGUGAAAUUCGUAGAUAUUCGCAAGAACACCAGUGGCGAAGGCGGCUCACUGGCCCGGUACUGACGCUGAGGUGCGAAAGCGUGGGGAGCAAACAGG